rnacentral:rRNA from 1 species
CAGAACGUCGUGAGACAGUUCGGUCCAUAUCCGGUGCAGGCGUUAGAGUAUUGAGAGGAGUUCCCCUUAGUACGAGAGGACCGGGGGAAAUACACCGCUGGUGUACCAGUUAUCGUGCCAACGGUAAACGCUGGGUAGCCAAGUGUAGAGUGGAUAACUGCUGAAAGCAUCUAAGUAGGAAGCCCACCUCAAGAUGAGUACUCUCACCGCUAUAAGCGGGUAAGAUCACGGCAAGAACAGCCGUUAUAUAGGCACCAAGUAUAAGUACAGCAAUGUAUUCAGCUGAGGUGUACUAACAGAUCGA